CGGUUAAUAUCACAACUGUGACCCAUUGAGAUAUCAUGCUCUACAAUUGUUCAACAACGAUCAUACUAGCAGGAAACGCCUAGCUAUAAGAAAAUGUUAUUCUUAUAACUUCAUUUACCCGUUGAAAAUCUUUUCCACUGAGGAACCUUACUUCUGUGCGGCAGUUUUCAUCAGUCAGGAUUCCCUUCUGACGACGGCUUUGUGCAUGAAAAUGAUGCAGCAUAGCGAUGAGCACCCCUC